UACAGAGGUGGCGAGCGUUAAUCGGACUUACUGGGCGUAAAGCGCACGUAGGUGGUUUGUUAAGCCAGCUGUGAAAUCCCCGGGCUCAACCUGGGCACUGCGGUUGGAACUGGCAAGCUAGAGUAGGGUAGAGGGGUGUGGAAUUCCAGGUGUAGCGGUGAAAUGCGUAGAUAUCUGGAGGAACAUCAGUGGCGAAGGCGACACCCUGGACUCAUACUGACACUGAGGUGCGGAAGCGUGGGGAGCAAACAGG
rnacentral:rRNA from 1 species